rnacentral:rRNA from 1 species
AUUGAACGCUGGCGGCAUGCCUUACACAUGCAAGUCGAACGGCAGCACGGGGCAACCUGGUGGCGAGUGGCGAACGGGUGAGUAAUGCAUCGGAACGUACCUUUCAGUGGGGGAUAACGUAGCGAGAGUUACGCUAAUACCGCAUAUUCUGUGAGCAGGAAAGCAGGGGAUCGCAAGACCUUGCGCUGAUUGAGCGGCCGAUGUCAGAUUAGCUAGUUGGUGAGGUAAAGGCUCACCAAGGCGACGAUCUGUAGCGGGUCUGAGAGGAUGAUCAGCCACACUGGAACUGGGACGCGGUCCAGACUCCUACGGGAGGCAGCAGUGGGGAAUUUUGGACAAUGGGGGCAACCCUGAUCCAGCCAUGCCGCGUGAGUGAAGAAGGCCUUCGGGUUGUAAAGCUCUUUCGGCCGGGAAGAAAUCGCACGGGCUAAUACCCUGUGUGGAUGACGGUACCGGAAUAAGAAGCACCGGCUAACUACGUGCCAGCCGCCGCCGUAAGAC